AUGAACGCUAGCUACAGGCUUAACACAUGCAAGUCGAGGGGAAACGAUAUUGGAAGCUUGCUUCCGAUAGGCGUCGACCGGCGCACGGGUGAGUAACGCGUAUCCAACCUGCCCACCACUUGGGGAUAACCUUGCGAAAGUAAGACUAAUACCCAAUGAUAUCUCUAGAAGACAUCUGAAAGGGAUUAAAGAUUUAUCGGUGAUGGAUGGGGAUGCGUCUGAUUAGCUUGUUGGCGGGGUAACGGCCCACCAAGGCGACGAUCAGUAGGGGUUCUGAGAGGAAGGUCCCCCACAUUGGAACUGAGACACGGUCCAAACUCCUACGGGAGGCAGCAGUGAGGAAUAUUGGUCAAUGGGCGAGAGCCUGAACCAGCCAAGUAGCGUGCAGGAUGACGGCCCUAUGGGUUGUAAACUGCUUUUAUAAGGGAAUAAAGUGAGCCUCGUGAGGCUUUUUGCAUGUACCUUAUGAAUAAGGACCGGCUAAUUCCGUGCCAGCAGCCGCGGUAAUACGGAAGGUCCGGGCGUUAUCCGGAUUUAUUGGGUUUAAAGGGAGCGUAGGCCGGAGAUUAAGCGUGUUGUGAAAUGUAGAUGCUCAACAUCUGCACUGCAGCGCGAACUGGUUUCCUUGAGUACGCACAAAGUGGGCGGAAUUCGUGGUGUAGCGGUGAAAUGCUUAGAUAUCACGAAGAACUCCGAUUGCGAAGGCAGCUCACUGGAGCGCAACUGACGCUGAAGCUCGAAAGUGCGGGUAUCGAACAGGAUUAGAUACCCUGGUAGUCCGCACGGUAAACGAUGGAUGCCCGCUGUUGGUCUGAAUAGGUCAGCGGCCAAGCGAAAGCAUUAAGCAUCCCACCUGGGGAGUACGCCGGCAACGGUGAAACUCAAAGGAAUUGACGGGGGCCCGCACAAGCGGUGGAGUAUGUGGUUUAAUUCGAUGCAACGCGAAGAACCUUACCUGGGUUUGACAUCCACGGAAUUUCUGUGAAAGCAGGAAGUGCCCGCAAGGGAGCCGUGAGACAGGUGCUGCAUGGCUGUCGUCAGCUCGUGUCGUGAGAUGUUGGGUUAAGUCCCGCAACGAGCGCAACCCCUCUCCUUAGUUGCCAUCAGGUGAAGCUGGGCACUCUGGGGACACUGCCACCGUAAGGUGUGAGGAAGGUGGGGAUGACGUCAAAUCAGCACGGCCCUUACGUCCGGGGCUACACACGUGUUACAAUGGCAGGUACAGAGAGAUGGUGUUCUGCAAAGCGCAUCUAAUCCUUAAAGCCUGUCUCAGUUCGGACUGGGGUCUGCAACCCGACCCCACGAAGCUGGAUUCGCUAGUAAUCGCGCAUCAGCCAUGGCGCGGUGAAUACGUUCCCGGGCCUUGUACACACCGCCCGUCAAGCCAUGAAAGCCGGGGGCGCCUAAAGUCCGUGACCGUAAGGAGCGGCCUAGGGCGAAACUGGUAAUUGGGGCU
rnacentral:rRNA from 1 species